GAUGAACGCUGGCGGCGUGCCUAAUACAUGCAAGUCGAGCGAACAGACGAGGAGCUUGCUCCUCUGACGUUAGCGGCGGACGGGUGAGUAACACGUGGAUAACCUACCUAUAAGACUGGGAUAACUUCGGGAAACCGGAGCUAAUACCGGAUAAUAUAUUGAACCGCAUGGUUCAAUAGUGAAAGACGGUUUUGCUGUCUCUUAUAGAUGGAUCCGCGCCGCAUUAGCUAGUUGGUAAGGUAACGGCUUACCAAGGCAACGAUGCGUAGCCGACCUGAGAGGGUGAUCGGCCACACUGGAACUGAGACACGGUCCAGACUCCUACGGGAGGCAGCAGUAGGGAAUCUUCCGCAAUGGACGAAAGCUUGACGGAGCAACGCCGCGUGAGUGAUGAAGGUCUUCGGAUCGUAAAACUCUGUUAUUAGGGAAGAACAAAUGUGUAAGUAACUAUGCACGUCUUGACGGUACCUAAUCAGAAAGCCACGGCUAACUACGUG
rnacentral:rRNA from 1 species